GCCUACGGCCAUGCCACCCUGAAUGCGCCCAAUCUCGUCUGAUCUUGGAAGCUAAGCAGGGUUGGGCCUGGUUAGUACUUGGAUGGGAGACCACCUAGCAAUACCAGGUGCAGAAUGAG
rnacentral:rRNA from 1 species